AUUGAACGCUGGCGGCAUGCCUUACACAUGCAAGUCGAACGGCAGCACGGGAGCAAUCCUGGUGGCGAGUGGCGAACGGGUGAGUAAUAUAUCGGAACGUGCCCAGUCGUGGGGAUAACGUAGCGAAAGCUACGCUAAUACCGCAUACGAUCUAUGGAUGAAAGCGGGGGGAUCGCAAGACCUCGCGCGAUUGGAGCGGCCGAUAUCAGAUUAGGUAGUUGGUGAGGUAAAGGCUCACCAAGCCGACGAUCUGUAGCUGGUCUGAGAGGACGACCAGCCACACUGGGACUGAGACACGGCCCAGACUCCUACGGGAGGCAGCAGUGGGGAAUUUUGGACAAUGGGCGCAAGCCUGAUCCAGCAAUGCCGCGUGCAGGAUGAAGGCCCUUCGGGUUGUAACUGCUUUUAUACAGGAAGAAACACUCCGACGUGUUCGGAGCGUUGACGGUACUGUAAGAAUAAGGAAUC
rnacentral:rRNA from 1 species